rnacentral:rRNA from 1 species
CGGCGGACGGGUGAGUAACGCGUGAGCAACCUGCCUUUCAGAGGGGGAUAACAACGGGAAACCGUUGCUAAUACCGCAUAAUACCGGAUGAUGGCAUCAUUGACCGGUCAAAGGAGCAAUCCGCUGAAAGAUGGGCUCGCGUCCCAUUAGGUAGUUGGUGGGGUAAAGGCCUACCAAGCCGACGAUGGGUAGCCGGACUGAGAGGUUGAUCGGCCACAUUGGAACUGAGACACGGUCCAAACUCCUACGGGAGGCACAUG